rnacentral:rRNA from 1 species
AGCAGCCGCGGUAAUUCCAGCUCCAAUAGCGUAUAUUAAAGUUGUUGCAGUUAAAAAGCUCGUGGUUGAAUUUCGGGAUCAAUAUGUUGGUCGUGCCUUGGUACGUACUAAUUUAUUGGUUUCUUCCUUCUGACGAACCAUGAUGUCAUUAAUUUGGUGUCUUGGGGAAUCAGGACUGUUACUUUGAAAAAAUUAGAGUGUUUAAAGCAGGCUCACGCUUGAAUACAUUAGCAUGGAAUAAUGAAAUAGGAUGUUUGAUUCUAUUUGUUGGUUUCUAGGAUCGACGUAAUGAUUAAUAGGGAUAGUUGGGGGCAUUAGUAUUCAAUUGUCAGAGGUGAAAUUCUUGGAUUUAUUGAAGACUAACUACUGCGAAAGCAUUUGCCAAGGAUGUUUUCAUUAAUCAAGAACGAAAGUUAGGGGAUCGAAGACGGAUCAGAUACCGUCGUAGUCUUAACCAUAAACUAUAGCCGACUAGGGAUCGGANGAUGUUAAUUUUUAAUGAACUCAUUCGGNGCCUUAC